UACAUUUCCAUGUCCCAAUUUCUAUGGUAAUUAAAAAUGAGUAAUGCUAUUUAAUCCAUCAAAACUAACUCACCUUAUUAUCAGCUAACGUGUCAAUAAACGAGUUGCUAUAUUUAAAGAGGAAACUUAAAACAUACACUUUUGAAAAGAAAUUGAGCAAAUAAAAAACUGUUAUAUCAGACGGUAUAUUAAGGUGGAUUAAAUAGCAUUUUUUAUUAAAAACAUUGUCUAACCAUUUUUUUCCUAUUUAUAUAGCCGCCAUCAUUAUUUUUUGAGAAAACAACAAAAUUUUGAAAAAAAUGGUUUUUAUUUUCACACAUUAUAUGCUACAUUGAAAAAUUUUCAUCUACACCCACUUUUUGAAAUAUAUUUAGUUAAUACCACCUUUUCUAAUAUCAGUGUGCGUCACCGGAGGCGUUAUCUUGUGCACCAACAGAGCUGGUGUACCAUACCACAUAACACUGACCCGCGCGUCAUGAAUUGAACCCAAUUCAGUACAAACUAAAUGAGAAAUUUACAAAAAUAUCUAAAAAAACUAAAAAUAUUUUUUAGAAUUACCUCAAAAACUGAAAGUUUACAAAUAUAUAUAAAAAUUUAAAUAUUUAUUUUUUUACUUUACAAUUUAUUUUUUUACUCUGCAGUUUCAAGCAGUUUCAAAAAACACAAUUUGAAAAUGUUUUACAAAACAUUUCAAAUACAGUUUUUAAUAGAGUUUCAAACGGUUUCAAAAAAACAAUUUGAAACUGUUUUAUAAACCGUUUCGAAGACGGUUUUUAAUUGGGUUGAAAACGGUUUAUAACAGUUUCUAAAAAUAAUUUGAAACCGUUUUAAAAAACUAUUUCUAUUACAGUUUCAAAAGGUUUCAAAAAAAAUUUAAAUUGACAUUUUUAAAAUUAUUUAUAAUGCAGUUUCAAACAGUUUAAAAAAACGGAGUAUUAUUACAAAUUUUCAGAGUAAGAAUAAAUAAAUUUUCGGAGUAAAAGAAUAAAGUUUUAGAAAAAAAGGUAGAAGAAAUUUUUUCAAAAAACCAGCUAGGAGCUUUUGUUUUGAAUACUAGAUAAGUAUUAUGUAAGUGAGCCCCCAUACAAUUUUAAUAAUCUACGAGAUAAAACUGUACAUACAUACAGUAGACUCUCUAAUAAUUAAUAUUUAAUAAAUUAAUAAUUUUAAUAAUUAAUGAAAUUUUAGAGAACCAAUUUUAAUAUUACGUCUUAUAUUAUAUUUAAUAAAUUAAUAGUUCUAAUAAUUAAUAAUUUUUUAAUUCAACAUGUGUAUUAAUUAUUAGAGGGUCGACUGUAUAUUUGUUUAUAUGACAUAACAUCUACCUUCAAGGCCUGCUUGUAAACAGAGCAAAGUCUGUAAAUUCACUAAUAUGUUUUAAGAAUUCUUGCAAAAUAUAUACAAACCAGGCAGUGACGAAGUCAGACCACAAAUUCAGGUAGGGCACAAUUUAAUUGAAAAAAUUUAAAAUAUCAGACCAUAAAAAAUUUACACUUAAAAAUAAAAGUUAUAAAAUUGUUAAAUAUUAAAUAUAAUAAAAAAUAAAAAAAAAUAAACAGUACAAAAUUGACAAAUCAGCGCUUUUCAUCAAAAAAACAAAAACAAAACCAGUUAACGCUUUCUAAUUGGAGGAAAUUGUGUCUUGCGAGUCUUCAUCUUUUGAAACCGUUGUAAGAUAUCUUCAUCAUCAAUAUUUUUUUUUAAUUUUUUUUUGUAAAACAUACGAGACAAUCAUUUAAGAACUGAUUUUCCAUCUUAUUUCGCAUUGAUGAUAUUCAUACAUGAGAACAAUCUUUCAAUUGUCGUAGUUGCAACCGUAAUACCAACCAAAUAAGUAAAUAAACUAAAGAAAAUUAACGAUCGUAUCCCGUCUUAACCAUCAUUUUAACAAGGCCACUAAUAUCAUGAAGAUCACUAAAAUUAUUUGUAUUUCUAACAUUAAAGAUCUAAGUUUGAAUUUUAUUAAAAUUUAUCCAUGACUUACAUCAAAAAUAUUAUCAAAAAAAUAAACUCAACAUUCAAACCCGUAAAAAAUUGAAAUUAUUUAUUAUUAUAAGUAAAUAGAAAUUAUAAAAAAAUUGUACUAUAAAGUACAACUAAAAUAAUCAAAUUUAAUUACAUAAAUUACUAAAAGAAAAAUAAAAAGUUUUCACGAAAUACAAAAAUAUAACCGAAUAAAGGAAUUGAAAUAUAUAAACAAAAUUAAAGUAUACCUGACAAUGGCACAAUGGCAUUUUUUAAAUCUUAAUCGGUAUGUCAAAUUUUUUUUUACUAAUUUCUCUCUAAAAGAUAACUCUUAUUUUGUUUUAAUUGAUGAAAGUGCCACUGUGUUAAUGACCUAAAACAAUAAAACUAAGUAUGGGUUAAUGAAUAGCCAAAAUACACAAGACUCACUCUUUAAAAAGAAUUAAGGAUUUUUUACACAAAUCCCCUAAAACAAUUCUUAUCCAUUAUUUAUACCUCAGCAUUUUAUUUUAGGCAGUAAUCACUCAAAAGAAUAAAAUAGUUUCUACAAAUCCCUCAUAAUCCAAAUAAGCUAAUUUUAUAUUAAAAUAUGACAGUUUUAACCUUUGAUUAGAUCUGUUAAUAUCUCUUGCAAAAUUGUCUUGGGUCUCCAUCAACAGUACCGUUGAAGCCCAACGACGUUCGGCGAGAUCGGGCGACGGUCCAAUGCUAAAAAAUGGACUAUACGACCAAACCACCAUUUUCUUCAUCUUCUUCCCUCCAAAGCUAAAAAAUGGAGGAAAACACAAUCUGGCCAUUAAUUGCAGUAAUCACAUGCUCAUUCACUACAAUUCGCGCAUAUAAGAGAAAAUCACUUAAUUAACUGGCGUCGUUGCCGGCUUUCUUGUCAUGUCCAUUCAUUUCGGUGUUAGUUACAGGUCUUUACUCUAUUUUUAUUUCAUUUUUUCCUCUUCUUGUAUAGAUUAAUAAGCAUUAUCCUUAUAAUUAAUUUAAUUACAGGUUUGAAGGUAUGAUCCUUGCAGUUUUUUCUCACAUCAUCCAAACUUACGAAGGUCGGAGAAGAAAGGAAGAGAUGAAUUGAUGCUGAUUUCAAAAGAAGGCUGCCAGAGAAAUUAGAUACAAGUGUUGUCCAACGGUGGAAUGGUGGGGACGAGUAUUGUUUGGAUUCGAAAGAAUCAAGAGUGCAUGGUUACAGCUCUAACGGGUGCUAUUAUUGGUCAUUAUUCUUGCGCUAAUGGAGAUACUUGGUCUUCAGACUUGGGUGCUUAGUGAUGCUAUUCCCACACAUUACAAACUAUUGGUUAUUGAAAGACUCAUAAUAUUUUAAUUCAUUAAAGAAUGGUAGUGAGAAUCAUAUUUGUUAAGCCAAUUAUUUAUUGAUUUGAAUGUUUGCAAGAA